UACGAAGGGUGCAAGCGUUAAUCGGAAUUACUGGGCGUAAAGGGCGCGUAGGCGGUUGUUUAAGUCUGUCGUGAAAUCCCCGGGCUCAACCUGGGAAUGGCGAUGGAAACUGGGCAGCUAGAGUGUGUCAGAGGAUGGUGGAAUUCCCGGUGUAGCGGUGAAAUGCGUAGAGAUCGGGAGGAAUACCAGUGGCGAAGGCGGCCUUCUGGACUGACACUGACGCUGAGGCGCGAAAGCCAGGGGAGCAAACGGG
rnacentral:rRNA from 1 species